rnacentral:rRNA from 1 species
CGUGAGUGAUGAAGGCUUUCGGGUCAUAAAGCUCUGUCAAGUGGGAAGAACCUGUCUGGUGUAAAUACCAUCAGGCACUGACGGUACCACUGGAGGAAGCACCGGCUAACUCCGUGCCAGCAGCCGCGGUAAGACGGAGGGUGCAAGCGUUAUUCGGAAUUACUGGGCGUAAAGGGCGCGUAGGCGGCUCUUUAAGUCAGGCGUGAAAGCCCAGGGCUCAACCCUGGAAGUGCGUUUGAUACUGAGGAGCUUGAGUACGGGAGAGGGAAGUGGAAUUCCUGGUGUAGAGGUGAAAUUCGUAGACAUCAGGAGGAACACCGGUGGCGAAGGCGGCUUCCUGGACCGAUACUGACGCUGAGGCGCGAAAGCGUGGGGAGCAAACAGGAUUAGAGACCCUGGUAGUCCACGCUGUAAACGAUGAACACUAGGUGUAGCGGGUAUUGACCCCCGCUGUGCCGUAGCUAACGCAUUAA